rnacentral:rRNA from 1 species
UGGGGAAUCUUGGACAAUGGGGGCAACCCUGAUCCAGCGACGCCGCGUGGGUGGUAAGGCCUUCGGGUUGUAAAGCCCUUUCACCGGGGAAGAUGAUGACAUUACCCGGAGAAGAAGCGCCGGCUAACUCCGUGCCAGCAGCCGCGGUAAGACGGAGGGCGCUAGCGUUGUUCGGAAUCACUGGGCGUAAAGGGCGCGUAGGCGGCUGUUUAAGUCGAGGGUGAAAGCCCGGGGCUCAACCUCGGAACGGCACUCGAAACUGGUUGGCUGGAGACCGAGAGAGGAGAGUGGAAUACCCAGUGUAGAGGUGAAAUUCGUAGAUAUUGGGUGGAACACCGGUGGCGAAAGCGGCUCUCUGGCUCGGAUCUGACGCUGAGGCGCGAAAGCGUGGGGAGCAAACAGGAUUAGAUACCCGCGUAGUCC